rnacentral:rRNA from 1 species
GACGAACGCUGGCGGCGUGCUUAACACAUGCAAGUCGAACGGCAAGGCCCUUCGGGGUACACGAGUGGCGAACGGGUGAGUAACACGUGGGUGAUCUGCCCUGCACUUCGGGAUAAGCCUGGGAACCUGGGUCUAAUACCGGAUAGGACCACUGCCUGCAUGGGUGGUGGUGGAAAGCUUUUGCGGUGUGGGAUGGGCCCGCGGCCUAUCAGCUUGUUGGUGGGGUGAUGGCCUACCAAGGCGACGACGGGUAGCCGGCCUGAGAGGGUGACCGGCCACACUGGGACUGAGAUACGGCCCAGACUCCUACGGGAGGCAGCAGUGGGGAAUAUUGCACAAUGGGCGCAAGCCUGAUGCAGCGACGCCGCGUGAGGGAUGACGGCCUUCGGGUUGUAAACCUCUUUCAGCACCGACGAAGCGCAAGUGACGGUAGGUGCAGAAGAAGGACCGGCCAACUACGUGCCAGCCGCCGCAGUAA